rnacentral:rRNA from 1 species
AUUGAACGCUGGCGGAAUGCUUUACACAUGCAAGUCGAACGGCAGCACGGACUUCGGUCUGGUGGCGAGUGGCGAACGGGUGAGUAAUGUAUCGGAACGUGCCCAGUCGUGGGGGAUAACGUAGUGAAAAUUACGCUAAUACCGCAUACGAUCUAUGGAUGAAAGCGGGGGACCGUAAGGCCUCGCGCGAUUGGAGCGGCCGAUAUCAGAUUAGGUAGUUGGUGGGGUAAAGGCUCACCAAGCCGACGAUCUGUAGCUGGUCUGAGAGGACGACGAGACACACUGGAACUGAGACACGGUCCAGACUCCUACGGGAGGCAGCAGGGGGGAAUUUCGGACAAUGGGCGCAAGCCUGAUCCAGCCAUUCCGCGUGCAGGAUGAAGGCCCUCGGGUUGUAAACUGCUUUUGUACGGAACGAAAGGGCUCUGGUUAAUACCUGGGGCUCAUGACGGUACCGUAAGAGUAAGCACCGGCUAACUACGUGCCAGCCGCCGCAGUAA